rnacentral:rRNA from 1 species
GCAGCAGGCGCGCAAAUUACCCAAUCCCGANNCGGGGAGGUAGUGACAAUAAAUAACAACACAGGGCUCUUUUGGGUCUUGUUAUUGGAAUGAGUACGAUUUAAAUCUCCUAACGAGGAACAAUUGGAGGGCAAGUCUGGCGCCAGCAGCCGCGGUAAUUCCAGCUCCAAUAGCGUAUAUUAAAGUUGUUGCAGUUAAAAAGCUCGUAGUUGAAUUUCAGGCCUGGCUGGACGGUCCGCCCUUCGGGUGAGUACUGUCUGUGGUCGGGUCCUACCUUCUGGCGAAGCGUCAUGGCCUUAACCGGCCGUGGCGGGGAACCAGGACUUUUACUGUGAAAAAAUUAGAGUGUUCAAAGCAGGCAAUCGCUUGGAUACAUUAGCAUGGAAUAAUGGAAUAGGACAAUGGUUCUAUUUGUUGGUUUCUAGGACCGUUGUAAUGAUUAAUAGGGAUAGUUGGGGGCAUUAGUAUUCAAUUGUCAGAGGUGAAAUUCUUGGAUUUAUUGAAGACUAACUACUGCGAAAGCNUUUGCCAAGGAUGUUUUCNUUAAUCAAGAACGAAAGUUAGGGGAUCGAAGACGAUCAGAUACCGUCGUAGUCUUAACCAUAAACUAUGCCGACUAGGAAUCGGGCGAUGUUGAAAAA